GACGAACGCUGGCGGCGUGCCUAAUACAUGCAAGUCGAACGAACCGACGCGAAGUUUGUGCCCUUGAUCAUAGUGGCGGGCGAACGAGUAACUAGCGGGUGGCUAACCUACCUGACAGGGGUAAAUUACAGAAGGCGGCGACUACAAAGGCCGCUUAUUAGAUCCGCAUACUUGAAAAAGGAAAGACGGGUGUGCCAACCUUUCUCGAUGGAUCCGCGCUGCAUUAGCUAGUUGGUAAGGUAAGGGCAUACCAAGGCAAGGAUGCAUAGCCGACCUGAGAGGGUGAUCGGCCACAUUGGGACUGAGACACGGCCCAGACUCCUACGGGAGGCAGCAGUAGGGAAUCUUCCGCAAUGGGCGAAAGUCUGACGGAGCAACGCCGCGUGAGUGAUGAAGGUCUUCGGAUCGUAAAGCUCUGUUGUUAGGGAAGAACAGAUGAGUAAGUAACUGUGCAGAGCGUGACGGUACCUAAUCAGAAAGCCACGGCUAACUACGUG
rnacentral:rRNA from 1 species